CCAGAACUGGAAGUAGCUAGGAUGUGGAGAGAGGUGAAAUAUAGCCAGAAGCAUGGAAAACAACCAGGGAAGAGAAGAGAAAGGGUUUGGACACAUACUAAAGAGAAGAGAGCUUUCCUUGAAGCCCACUGGAGCCAUGGGAGGCUUCGGAGCAGCCACCGAGGAGACUGACAAUGGAUUUGGAAGGGGUUAUGCCAAAGGCAGAGGCUAUAAAAUGCUGCAGAAGGUGCUCACAUCAUGCCGAGCCUUCCUCCUGCCAGCGCGCAUCCCCACCAAGCUCGAGUUAACCUUCAGCUAUCUGGAGAUUCAUGGAGUCAUCUGCCACAAGCCAGCUCAAAUGGUCGUAGAAACUGAGAAGUGUAGCAUGUCCAUGAAGAUGGCAUCAGCCGAGGAUGUGAGUGACGUGCUGGCUCACAUAGGCACCUGCUUGCGGAGGAUAUUUCCAGGCCUCUCCCCACUGAGAAUCAUGAAGAAAGUCUCCAUGGAGCCAUCUGAGCGCCUGGCCAGUCUCCAGGCCCUGUGGGACAGCCAGACCUUGGCUGAGCCAGGCCCCUGUGGUGGGUUUUCCCAGAUGUAUGCCUGUGUAUGCGACUGGCUGGGGUUUUCCUACAGGGAAGAGGUGCAGUGGGAUGUGGAUACAAUUUAUCUGACACAAGACACCAGGGAAUUGAACUUACAAGACUUCAGUCAUCUUGAGCACAGAGACCUGAUCCCCAUCAUUGCGGCCCUGGAAUAUAAUCAGUGGUUCACGAAACUGUCCUCCAAGGAUCUUAAGCUGUCCACGGAUGUCUGUGAACAGAUCUUGAGGGUGGUGAGUCGGUCCAACCGACUGGAAGAAUUGGUGUUGGAAAAUGCUGGACUCAGAACAGAUUUUGCACAAAAAUUGGCCAGUGCUCUAGCACAUAAUCCUAACUCAGGACUUCACACGAUCAACCUCGCCGGGAACCCGCUGGAGGAUCGAGGUGUGUCCUCCUUAAGUAUUCAAUUUGCCAAACUCCCAAAGGGAUUGAAGCAUUUAAACCUAUCUAAAACCUCAUUGUCACCUAAAGGGGUGAACAGCCUUUGUCAGUCUCUCAGUGCCAACCCUCUGACUGCCUCUACCCUCGCCCACCUGGACCUCUCAGGGAAUGCUCUCCGUGGAGAUGACCUCUCGCACAUGUACAAUUUUUUGGCGCAGCCCAACACCAUUGUUCAUCUGGAUUUAUCUAAUACAGAAUGUUCUCUGGAAAUGGUGUGUAGUGCUCUUCUCCGGGGGUGCCUUCAGUGUCUCGCUGUGCUCAAUCUCUCCAGAUCGGUCUUCUCUCACAGGAAAGGAAAGGAAGUCCCCCUGUCUUUCAAGCAAUUUUUCAGCAGUUCUCUGGCUUUGAUGCAAAUCAAUCUUUCAGGCACGAAACUGGCUCCCGAGCCCUUGAAGGCACUGCUCUUGGGCCUGGCCUGCAAUCAUAGCUUGAAGGGGGUUUCUCUGGACCUCAGCAACUGUGAGCUUGGCCACUGUCUGAGGUCAGGAGGAGCUCAAGUGCUAGAAGGCUGCAUCGCCGAAAUCCACAACAUCGUCAGCCUGGAUCUCUCCGACAACGGUUUGGAAUCCGACCUGUCUACCCUAAUAGUGUGGCUCAGUAAAAACAGAUCCAUACAGCACCUGGCCUUAGGCAAAAAUUUUAAUAAUAUGAAACCCAAAAAUCUGACGCCUGUGCUGGACAACUUAGUGCAGAUGAUCCAAGAUGAAGACUCUCCUUUGCAGUCUUUAUCCCUGGCUGACUCAAAACUCAAGGCUGAGGUCACCAUCAUCAUCAAUGCCCUGGGCAGCAACACCUCCCUGACCAAAGUGGACAUCAGUGGAAAUGGCAUGGGUGAUAUGGGAGCGAAGAUGCUCGCCAAGGCUCUGCAGAUCAACACCAAGCUCAGGACGGUCAUCUGGGACAAAAACAACAUUACCGCACAAGGCUUUCAAGAUAUAGCAGUUGCCAUGGAAAAGAACUACACACUGAGAUUCAUGCCCAUUCCUAUGUAUGAUGCUUCCCAAGCUCUUAAAACAAACCCUGAGAAGACAGAAGAGGCUCUCCAGAAGAUAGAAAACUAUCUGCUCCGGAAUCACGAGACUAGAAAGUACCUCCAGGAGCAGGCCUACCGUCUCCAGCAGGGCAUCGUCACCAGCACCACCCAGCAGAUGAUUGACCGGGUAUGUGUGAAGGUUCAGGAUCACCUCAACUCCUUGCGAUCCUGUGGGGGUGACGCUAUUCAGGAGGAUUUAAAGGCAGCAGAGCGGAUCAUGCGUGAUGCUAAGAACUCUAAAACGUUGUUACCGAAUUUAUACCAUGUGGGCGGUGCUUCCUGGGCAGGAGCCAGUGGCCUGUCAUCUAGUCCCAUUCAGGAGACCCUGGAAUCAAUGGCCGGAGAAGUCACAAGAGUUGUGGAUGAACAGCUGAAGGGUUUGCUUGAAAACAUGGUAGAUGCUGCUGAGGACCUCUGCCCCAGUGUAAUGAGAAAAGCCCACAUCCGACAGGACCUGAUCCAUGCCAGCACUGAAAAGAUUUCCAUCCCACGCACCUUUGUUAAAAACGUCCUGUUGGAACAGUCCGGAAUCGACAUUCUUAACAAAAUUAGUGAGGUGAAGCUGACAGUGGCCUCAUUUCUGUCUGACCGCAUCGUGGAUGAGAUUCUGGAGGCACUUUCCAACAGCCAUCGGAAGCUGGCGGACCAUUUCAGCAGGAGAGGCAAGAGCCUUCCCCAGCGAGAGGCCCUAGAGGUGGAGCUGGCCGAGGAGAAGCCUGUGAAACGAGCCACACUUACGGUGGAGGAUCUCACGGAGGUGGAGAGGCUGGAAGACCUAGAUACCUGUAUGACUCUCUGCUGUACAAGUAUGACUCCCAAGUCCAAGAGGAAGAGCAUCCAUAGCCGAAUGCUGCGGCCUGUCUCCAGGGCGUUCGAAAUGGAGUUUGAUCUUGACAAAGCCCUGGAAGAGGUUCCGAUUCACAUCGAAGACCCGCCUUUCCCAUCAGUCCGGCAGGAGAAGCGAAGCUCGGGGUUCAUUUCUGAGCUGCCCUCAGAGGAAGGCAGGAGACUGGAACACUUCACCAAGUUACGGCCCAAGCGGAACAAGAAGCAGCAGCCCACACAGGCAGCGAUCUGUAACAUCAGCAUCAUCCCCCAUGAUGGAGAACAGAACGGCCUCAUGGGCAGAGUGGAUGAAGGUGUCGAUGAAUUUUUCACCAAGAAAGUGACUAAAAUGGAUAGCAAGAGGUCAUCCACACGCUGCUCCGAUGCCCACGAACUGGCCGAAGGAGAUGAGAAGAAAAAACGAGAUUCUCGAAGAAGUGGCUUUCUUAACCUAAUCAAAUCGAGGUCCAGACCUGAGCGGCCACCCACAGUCCUGAUGUCAGAAGAGCUCUCCUCCCCAAAGGGGGCAAUCCGGAGUCCACCGGUGGACACCGCCAGGAAGGACAUAAAGGCAGCUGAGCACAAUGGUGCUGCCGAACGCACGGAGGAGGUGAAGACGCCAGAACCCCUGGAGGAGGGUCCAGCCGAGGAAUCAGGCAGGGUUGAGCGCAGCGACAGCAGGGGUAGCCCACAGGGUGGCCGGCGCUAUGUGCAGGUGAUGGGCAGCGGGCUGCUGGCUGAGAUGAAGGCCAAGCAGGAACGGAGAGCUGCGUGUGCACAGAAGAAGCUUGUCAAUGACAUCACCUCCCAGGAUUCCUCCAGCCCAGUCUUGAGCAGCACAGAGCGGUCGGAGGGAGGUGGGACAGUGCCCAAAUUGCACCCAGGUCUUCCAGAGGCCCGCUUUGGUUUGGGAACACCAGAAAAAAAUGCCAAAGCAGAACCCAGAGUGGAUGGGGGCUGCAGGUCUCGAAGCUCCUCCAGCAUGCCCACCAGCCCGAAGCCCCUCCUGCAGUCCACCAAGCCCAGCCCAGGAGCCCGGCCCUCCAUUCCCCAGAAGCCAAGAACUGCCUCCCGACCCGAAGACACCCCAGACUCUCCAUCUGGUCCGGGUUCCCCUAAAGUUGCUCUUCUUCCACCCACCCUCAAAAAAGUCCCCUCGGACAAGGAGCGCGAUGGCCAGAACAGCCCCCAACCCAGUCCCAGGACCCUCUCCCAGGAAGGUUAUUUUAUAGGUGGAAGUCUCUCUCUUCUACUGUUUAUAGAUAAAAGAAGGUGGGGACUUGGCUGAAGGUGGUAAACUACUUUUGUUAAAGAAUCUGAAGAGGGGACUGGCAUCAGUUCUCAUUUCACAACGAAGGGAUAGAUGCUGUGCUUGGUAUCACAGGCAAAGCUUUAGAACGAGUCACUAUGUGGAGAAGAACCUGUAAUAGUGCUGUUCAAAGCAAACUCCGACCCUGAGAGCCCUCCCAGGCAGGUUGCUCAUACAGUUCCUCUCCAUUGGCGCCCUUCCUCUCUUUCCAUUCUACAGUCUCUGUCUUUACCUCUUGCCUUUUAAGGAAGCUUUGAAAAUGCCUGAGAGGAUGUCAGUGGGGAGGAAUGGGGAGAGAGAGGUUGGUGACGUGCAGAAAUAUUCAUCUUGUUAAAAAUAAUUGAAAUGUGGAAGAAUUUACACAAAACAGGAUAGGUGGGGGCCGGAGCAUUUAGUAAAUUUCUGAUUAGCAUUUUUUGGAAAACGAUACCAGCUUGGGAGUGUCCAAUCUGUAGCCCCAGGGCCACCUGCAGUGAGUUUGGCUGAGGAUAGCUACGACUCCAGCCCAACACAAAAUGAUGAGCUCACUAUAAGCAACUGCAUUUUCAGCAGGUGUUUGUGGGUUUUUGUUGUUUUGUUUUGUUUUGAACUCAAUUGCAUGGCUCCCAAGUGUCAAAAAGUUGGACAUACUUGCUAGGUGAUCAAAACUAUCAGGAGUAGGAAUGUGUCCUGGAGCCUCUGGUGACAGCACCACUAGCAAGCCCACUUUCCACUUUCCACUGCUGUGAAGAGUGAGGAAUUCCAAAUAAGGGAGCCAUUUCUCAAGAACUAAGGAUGCUUCAUACAUUUGUCCACCACGGGCUGAUUGAAACGACAGAGCUCUGAGAUUGCCUUUUCGUCUAGGUCCAGAAGGAACUAGUCACUGUCACAGUACUCUGCACUGAUGUCAGGCUGAAAAUACACAAGGUCUGGGCACAGCUUUCCAAUGUUUGAGGGGGUAAGAUUUUAACUUCAGCUUGUGAACUAGCGGAUUUUCAACGGCGGUAGAAGACAUGGCAGCCACUCAUGAGCCCUGCCUCUCUUUCCAGAAGCUAUCCCUGUUUAUUGUCUCUUCCUGUUGUGUGUUAUUUAUGCUGGUUACUUCAUUUCCUUGUUCUCUGCCUCCCUCUGGACUAGCGUGCCCAACUAAUUUCUGAAACAGUACUGCAAAGAGGAGAUUAUUUCAAAAGGCAUUCAGAUCAUGACAGAGG